rnacentral:misc_RNA from 1 species
UUUCCGUUGGUGAACCUGCGGAAGGAUCAUUAUCGUACAAAAUGUGAGGGGCAUGCGAGGGCUGUCGCUGACCCAAGUCGUGCACGCCCGAGUGUGUCCUCUUGCAUAAUAAUCCAUCUCACCCUUUGUGCAUCACCGCGUGGUCACCCUUCGGGAUCAUCUCGGAGGGGGGCUCGCGUUUUCACACAAACCCCCCUUUUAAAAGUGUAGAAUGACCACAUUUAUGCAGUCAAUACAACUUUCAACAACGGAUCUCUUGGCUCUC